AUUGAACGCUGGCGGCAGGCCUAACACAUGCAAGUCGAACGAGUGGCGGACGGGUGAGUAAUGUCUGGGAAACUGCCCGAUUGAGGGGGAUAACUACUGGAAACGGUAGCUAAUACCGCAUACCAUCGGAUGUUCCCAGAUGGGAUUAGCUAGUUGGUGGGGUAACGGCUCACCAAGGCGACGAUCCCUAGCUGGUUUGAGAGGACGAGCAGCCACACGGGGACUGAGACACGGCCCAGCCUCCUACGGGAGGAAGCAGUGGGGAAGUGUGGACAAUGGGGGAAAGCCGGAUCCAGUGAUCCCGCGUGUACGAGGAAGGCAUUAGGGUUGUAAAGUACUUUUGGCAGGAAAGCGGUACCUGCAGAAGAAGCACCGGCUAACUACGUGCCAGCAGCCGCGGUAAUAC
rnacentral:rRNA from 1 species